rnacentral:lncRNA from 1 species
GCCAAGCUAGGGACUGACCAUUAUUUGUAGACUACAGGGAGCCACUGGUGCAUUAAAGUAGCAGAGUGUGACAUGAAUGGGUCUGGAUUUUAGUAAGAUAAAGCUUGUGACAGUAUGAACGAUGGAUUUAAGGGGUGAGAAACUAUAAACAAGGAGACCAGUCAGAUACAAUAAUGCACAUAAGAAUGGGAAAUUAAUAAAAACUGUGGCAGCAGAUAUAAUAGAAGGGCACACAUUCAAAAGAUAAUCUAGAGUUAGAUGAACAUAGCAAUAGUAGUUAAAUUCAUAUGGUUUAUUUUUUGUCUGUGUCCUUCACUGUAUUAAGGACUCCAUGCACAUUACCAAUAAAUCUUCAUAGCAGCCCUAUGACAUGCACUCUACUUACUGUGCCUGUUUUACAGAUGGGGGAAGUGAAGAUUAGGGAAGUUAAACGGCUGGCUGAAGAUCACAUAGCUAGUAAUUAUGGAGCUGGGACUGAACCCAGGCCUAACUCAUUUGAGAGCAUAACAAAUACCUAAGAUAAACAGCUUCUAACUUGCCCAGAUGACCAUGGGAAAUGAGGAAAAAUUGGAAACUAAGGAUAACUAUGUUGUUCCUGGUCUGAGUGACGUGGGGAAUGAAGAUCUGAUUAUCAAGGUCCUGGGUUUAUCCUAAGGCUGUUUCACACCAAAGCUCUACAGGAAGGACACCAAGUAGCAAAAAAAUGCAUGUCAAAUGGGAGAAACAAAGUAGUUUUCCUUGGCUCUGUGUUAUGAGAUUAUUAGAAAGACAAGGGAUAUCUCAGUGGCUUUCAAUCUGUGCUCUUAAGGAACUCCCAGUUUUAAAGCAUAGACCAUGAGGGAUGAGCACUGUCUUUUACAAGCUGUUCUCUGAGUUUUAUUAAAUAUCAACAGAAGUUCAACAAUGUGAGAGAGACUUCAAACAUAAUCACUGCUGUUAGAAUAAGAGGAACAACCAGGAGCAAGACAACGUUACCCAUGCCAAGUCCUCAAUAAUCCUGAUGCAGAGCAGUCUGCAUGAAAAUUAGGACAAUUAUCUACUGUAAAUUAAUGUACUUUAAUAUUCAACCUCUAAUACACACGUAUUGCUUUGUUUUCACAGGAUUAAAUGAAUUGAAGGGAUUAUAAAUCCAUAUGCAGUGAUAAAUUUCUAGUAUUGAUUAAGCACUCAUCAGACAGGCCUCCUGCUAAGUGCUGUGCUUAUAUGAGUAAACAAGACAAAGUCCAGUCCUCAGAAAACCUGACAUUUACUACGUGUUAACAAAC